GUUGCGGUUAAAAAGCUCGUAGUUGGAUUUCUGUCGGUGAGUGGCAGUGCGGCCUCGUGUCUGUAACUAGUCGCGCCACCGGCAUCUUCCUGGGGACUGUAUCUGCUCUUAACUGAGUGGUGCAUAAUCCAGGACUUUUACUUUGAAGAAAUAGGAGUGUUUCAAGCAGGCAUGCGCCGUGAACACGUUAGCAUGGAAUAAUAGCAUCGGACCUCGUUCCAAAGCUGUUGGUUUCCUUGGAGCGAGGUAAAGGUGAUAGGGAUUGUUGGGGGC
rnacentral:rRNA from 1 species